GCAACGAGUCGCCGACGUUGACGAAGAAGGAGUCGCGGUCGGAGGGCACGGACACCCACUGGCCGUCGCGGAGCGCGAUCUGCAGGCCGGACGUGCCGUUUGAGCGGAGCACGGAGACGAGCUGCGGGUCGGUGUGCUCGCCGAAGCCGGUGACGCUGCAGCCGAGCCCCUGCAGCGCGCGGCACGGCGGGUAGUGGUUCACGCGGAACACCUGGUCGCUCCCUUCCGCCGUCACCAGCGCGCUCAGCGCGUCCGCCUGCGCAAUGCCCAGCCCCUCCGACAUCGCCUCCAUCACCCGCACCGCCACCUUCCGCACCCCCGAGAUGUACUCGUUCAGAGCGGCCCUGCAUGCAUGACGCGCGCGCACCAUGUCAAACACUAGGUAAAAAACCGAGAGAAACGGACGGGGCUGAUAUUAUAUAUCGCCGUCGGUUUUGAGGGCUCACCGGAAGACCGCGCAGGACGGGACGGUGCAGGCGUCGGCGAGCGACGCGUCGUCGAGGGCGAGGAGGAGGUACUCGAGCCACCCCAUGUCGCCAUUGAACCCGAUCCGCUUGCUGCCGUACCCGAACGGGUAGGCCGGGCCGGAGCGGUCCUUGUCGGGCUGCGUCUGGGAGAAGAACCUGACGGCCUCCGACUCGGCCUUGUCCAUCGUGUCCGUGGCCACGCCGUGGUUGACGACCUUGAAGAACCCGUACCGCUCGCAGGCGUCCACCACGGCCCUCGCCGCGCCGGGGCUGCCGAGGUCGACGACCGGCACGCCGGAGAAGACGUCGCCGGGGUCCGGCGACCUCAGCAGCGGGAUGUGAUCGACGGCGGGCGGGCCAGCGAGAACCACCAU
rnacentral:sRNA from 1 species